rnacentral:rRNA from 1 species
AAUUAUUAAAUAGCCGCGGUAUCUUGACCGUGCAAAGGUAGCAUAAUCAUUAGUUUUUUAAUUGAAAACUUGUAUGAAUGGUUGGACAAAGAAAAAGCUGUCUCUUUCAUUAAAAUUGAAUUUAACUUCUAAGUGAAAAGGCUUAGAUAUUUUAGAGGGACGAUAAGACCCUAUAAAGCAUUGGGUUGGGGCAACAAAAGUAUAAUUAAUAACUGCUAUAAAUUACUACAAUUAUUUUUGUGUUGAUCCUCGAAAGGGAUUAAAAGAUCAAGUUACUUUAGGGAUAACAGCGUAAUUUAUCUUGAGAGUUCUUAUCAAAGGAUAAGUUUGCGACCUCGAUGUUGAAUUAAAAUGUCUUUAUAGUGCAGCAGCUAUACAAGAAGGUCUGUUCGACCUUUAAUUUUUU